rnacentral:rRNA from 1 species
UAAGGAAUAUUGGACAAUGGGCGGAAGCCUGAUCCAGCCAUGCCGCGUGAAGGAUGAAGGCGCUCAGCGUUGUAAACUUCUUUUGGAUGGGGACAAUAACCUCGAUUUAUCGGGGCUUGAGGGUACCAUCAGAAUAAGCACCGGCUAACUCCGUGCCAGCAGCCGCGGUAAUACGGAGGGUGCAAGCGUUAUCCGGAAUCACUGGGUUUAAAGGGUGCGUAGGCGGUCAGAUAAGUCAGUCGUGAAAUUCUCCGGCUUAACCGGGUGGACUGCGAUUGAUACUGUUUGACUUGAAUGAGGUUGAGGUAGGCGGAAUGUGGCAUGUAGCGGUGAAAUGCUUAGAUAUGCCAUAGAACACCGAUUGCGAAGGCAGCUUGCUGGGCCUUCAUUGACGCUGAGGCACGAAAGCGUGGGGAGCAAACAGG